AUUGAACGCUGGCGGCAUGCCUUACACAUGCAAGUCGAACGGCAGCACGGGUGCUUGCACCUGGUGGCGAGUGGCGAACGGGUGAGUAAUAUAUCGGAACGUACCUUAUUGUGGGGGAUAACGCAGCGAAAGCUGUGCUAAUACCGCAUAAUCCCUAAGGGGGAAAGCGGGGGACCGUAAGGCCUCGCGCAAUUAGAGCGGCCGAUACCUGAUUAGCUAGUUGGGGAGGUAAAGGCUCACCAAGGCAACGAUCAGUAGCUGGUCUGAGAGGACGAUCAGCCUCACUGGGACUGAGACACGGCCCAGACUCCUACGGGAGGCAGCAGUGGGGAAUUUUGGACAAUGGGGGCAACCCUGAUCCAGCAAUGCCGCGUGAGUGAAGAAGGCCUUCGUGUUGUAAAGCUCUUUUGUCAGGGAAGAAACAGCAGCUCUAACACAGUUUGCGAAUGACGGUACCUGAAGAAUAAGCACCGGCUAACUACGUGCCAGCCGCCGCAGUAA
rnacentral:rRNA from 1 species